GGAGUGGCCGAUGCCUGAUUAGCUAGUUGGUGGGGUAAGGGCCUACCAAGGCGACGAUCAGUAGUUGGUCUGAGAGGACGACCAGCCACACUGGGACUGAGACACGGCCCAGACUCCUACGGGAGGCAGCAGUGGGGAAUUUUGGACAAUGGGCGAAAGCCUGAUCCAGCAAUGCCGCGUGAGUGAAGAAGGCCUUCGGGUUGUAAAGCUCUUUCAGUCGAGAAGAAAAGGUUGUGACUAAUAAUCGCAACUUAUGACGGUAUCGACAGAAGAAGCACCGGCUAACUACGUGCCAGCAGCCGCGGUAAUACGUAGGGUGCGAGCGUUAAUCGGAAUUACUGGGCGUAAAGGGUGCGCAGGCGGCUUUGUAAGUCAGAUGGGAAUGCCCCGGG
rnacentral:rRNA from 1 species